CCUACGGGAGGCAGCAGUGAGGAAUAUUGGUCAAUGGGCUUACGCCUGAACCAGCCAAGUCGCGUGAGGGAAGACUGCCCUAUGGGUUGUAAACCUCUUUUGUCAGGGAGCAACGCCGGCUACGUGUAGCCGGACUGAGAGUACCUGAAGAAAAAGCAUCGGCUAACUCCGUGCCAGCAGCCGCGGUAAUACGGAGGAUGCGAGCGUUAUCCGGAUUUAUUGGGUUUAAAGGGUGCGUAGGCGGUUCGAUAAGUUAGAGGUGAAAUCCCGUGGCUCAACUCCGGCCCUGCCUGUGAUACUGUCGG
rnacentral:rRNA from 1 species